rnacentral:lncRNA from 1 species
CUUGCUCAACUCCAAUCACCGAGCAAAUACAAAACAAUGAUUUCUUCUUCGGAUAUCCACAAGAAGAAAUAAGGAAUGUAUAAAACAUUCCACAAAACAAUAACGAUCAUGAUCUUCUCACGUCUCAUACCCCAGAAACGUGCUCGUAUGCUUAAAUCACCGAUACGAGUUGGUGUCUAGUUCACCUUUACUACGAACUCCAUGUGAACAUUGUCCGUGAUUUACCCACACGGAUCAGUUUAAGAGCCCAAACAAUUACAAAAGUUGCCGACUCA